rnacentral:rRNA from 1 species
AUUGAACGCUGGCGGCAUGCUUUACACAUGCAAGUCGAACGGCAGCACGGGGGCAGCCCUGGUGGCGAGUGGCGAACGGGUGAGUAAUGCAUCGGAACGUACCCAGUCGUGGGGGACAACGUAGCGAAAGUUACGCUAAUACCGCAUACGACCUGAGGGUGAAAGCAGGGGAUCGCAAGACCUUGCGCGAUUGGAGCGGCCGAUGUCAGAUUAGCUAGUUGGUGGGGUAAAGGCUCACCAAGGCGACGAUCUGUAGCUGGUCUGAGAGGACGACCAGCCACAAUGGGACUGAGACACGGCACAGACUCCUACGGGAGGCAGCAGUGGGGAAUUUUGGACAAUGGGCGAAAGCCUGAGCCAGCAAUGCCGCGUGCAGGAAGAAGGCCUUCGGGUUGUAAACUGCUUUUGUACGGGGCGAAAAGGCUCUCUCUAAUACAGGGGGCUCAUGACGGUACCGUAGGAAUAAGCACCGGCUAACUACGUGCCAGCAGCCGCCGCCGUAA